rnacentral:rRNA from 1 species
GCGACCGGGUGAGUAACACGUGACUAACCUGCCUUCGAGUGGGGGAUAACCUCGGGAAACCGGGGCUAAUACCGCAUAAUGCCUUCGGGUUAAAGGAGCAAUUCGCUUGAAGAGGGGGUCGCGGCUGAUUAGCUAGUUGGCGGGGUAACGGCCCACCAAGGCGAAGAUCGGUAGCCGGCCUGAGAGGGUGCACGGCCACACUGGAACUGAAACACGGUCCAGACUCCUACGGGAGGCAGCAGUGGGGAAUUUUGCGCAAUGGGGGAAACCCUGACGCAGCAACGCCGCGUGGAGGAUGAAGUCCUUUGGGACGUAAACUCCUUUCGACCGGGACGAUUAUGACGGUACCGGUGGAAGAAGCCCCGGCUAACUUCGUGCCAGCAGCCGCGGUAAUACGAGGGGGGCGAGCGUUGUUCGGAAUUAUUGGGCGUAAAGGGCGCGUAGGCGGUGCGGUAAGUCACCUGUGAAACCUCUGGGCUUAACUCAGAGCCUGCAGGCGAAACUGCCGUGCUGGAGUGUGGGAGA